rnacentral:rRNA from 1 species
AGAGUUUGAUCCUGGCUCAGAAUGAACGUUGGCGGCGUGGAUUAGGCAUGCAAGUCGAACGGGCCUGGUUUUCGGAUCAGGUCAGUGGCGUAAGGGUGAGUAAGGCGACGGCAACCAACCCCAUGGUUGGGCAUAGCCGCGGGAAACUGCGGGUAAUUCCCAGCGAUGUUCGUGUCGGGCAUCCGGUGCGAACCAAAGUUUCGGCGCCGUGGGACGGGCCGUCGUGGUAUUAGGUCGUUGGCGGGGUAAUGGCCCACCAAGCCUCUGAUGCCUACCGGGCGUGCGAGCGUGGCCCGGCACACUGGGACUGAGACACUGCCCAGACUCCUACGGGAGGCUGCAGUCGAGAAUCUUCGGCAAUGGGCGCAAGCCUGACCGAGCGACGCCGCGUGGAGGAUGAAGGCCUUCGGGUUGUAAACUCCUGUCGAGGGGGAGGAAGGCGCAAGCUUGACCUAUCCCUGGAGGAAGCACGGGCUAAGUUCGUGCCAGCAGCCGCGGUAAGACGAACCGUGCGAACGUUAUUCGGAAUCACUGGGCUUAAAGCGCGUGUAGGCGGAUGGGGACGUCGGUUGCUGAAAUCCCCCGGCUCAACCGGGGAACUGGCGCCGAAACGCCCCGUCUGGAGGGACGUAGGGGACCUGGAACUUCCGGCGGAGCGGUGAAAUGCGUUGAGAUCGGAAGGAACGCCCGUGGCGAAAGCGAGUCCUGGACGUUUUCUGACGCUGAGACGCGAAAGCUAGGGGAGCGAACGGGAUUAGAUACCCCGGUAGUCCUAGCUGUAAACGAUGGGCACUGGGUAGGGGGCUCGCCGAUGGGCUCCCUGCCGUAUGGAACCCGUGAAGUGCCCCGCCUGGGGAGUUGGUCGCAGGCUGAAACUCAAAGAAUUGACGGGGCUUACACCAGCGUGGAGCAUGUGGCUUAUUCUAGGCUCGCGAAGAACCUUAUUCUUGGCUUGA